GAAAGACAAGAGCGAACUGAAGAAGCGCAAGCUCCUGGCUGAAGUGACUAUGAAGACGUACUGGAUCAGAAAAGGCAGUGCUUUUAGUACCACCGUCACCAAGCAGGAAACAGACCUUACGCCGGAGAUGAUUGCCAGUGGCUCCUGGAAAGACUUGAAGUUCAAGGCGUAUAACUUUGAGGCCCUGGGCAUCAUGCCCGAAAGCGGUCAUCUCCACCCGCUGCUGAAAGUCCGCAGCCAGUUCCGGCAGAUCUUCCUCGA